GUUCCCUAAGGCAGAAGUGGAUCCCAGCUCACCAUGGACGUGGUUCUGAUCUGUACUGGCUUCUAGACUGGGAUCAGGACAUGGAUUAUCUGGAGGCCCUGCUAGAUGACAGCUGGCAAAACUUGGAGAAUGCUGGAGGCAAGUUCUCAAUGUGCUUUUCCUGAUGGAAUAAUGUCAAGCCAAGCCUCUUGCUGAAGGUGAUCUGGCUUCCCAACCCACGUCCAGGACUGAGGCUCUGGGAGAUGGCGAGGGGAUGGACCAAAAGACCAUGCAGGUGGAGACGUUUCCCAGAGGAAGCAGUGGCUCAUUGGCAGGAAA